GCUCUGGAAGCUAUUGAAGCAUUAGGCUUUUAACCUGGGGAAGUGGGUGUUAUGCUCACCUAGGGCU
rnacentral:tRNA from 1 species